UUGGCACCUGCGUCAGAUGCCAGCCGGCAAGGGUGCGGAGAGAGAGUGAGGGACCUUGAGCGGUGCUGCCCGCGUCCUCAGCUCAGUGAGCCCCCUCUGGCACCGCGAGGAGAGGUGGUUGUUUCCUGGCUUCUGUGACUCCUUAGUGGGGAGCAAGCUCUGGCCUGAGACCAGCCGGCCCGACAGAGGAGAGGGGUGGAAGGAACUGAAGCAGAGCUUCAUGUCUCGGAGCCUUGGUUUACUCAGAAGUGUCACCCUCUCACGGAGUGACUGUGAGCAUUAGAUGAGCUUACGUCACCAGAAAGCACUUAGAUCAUUUCAGAAUAGGUCCUGUCUCAGAACAAACCAUCCACAAAGUCAAGUGACAAGUGACACAUAAGGAGGAAAUGCCUGCCCAUGCAUCCUGGAAAUUGAGAAGAAAAAGGGCAAACCCUGAGGAAAGUCUCUGUGAACACAUGCACAGUGAGUUCCAGGACACACUUCAUUAUUUUUGUUUGUUUUGUUUUAUAGUUUUCAUCUUAACCUACUAGUUUUCCACACCAGUUUUCCAGAUACACAGAUCACACAAAGAAUGUAGGAUACAUUGUAAAGUGAAAAGUCACACAGACACAGUGUUAUCCUCCAAGUAAGAAAGAAACAACAGUGUGAAAGAGUAGAGUUGACAUUCUUUUUAAUAGUUUCAACAUCUUGCUGAGUGACUAAUAUUUUCGUUAGUCUCUGCCACCUGUUCAUUGAAAACUUUUGGAUGAAAGUACUCUAAAAUUUUCCAUACCUCUAACAUAAAGCGUUUUUCCACUAUAAAACUUGCCUAACUUUCUACCUUCAUGUAGUCAGUGUCAGAAUUUUCCAGAUUUUAAUCUCUUUUGCCAUCUGUAAAUAA